AUCUCUCUAUUGUCACUGAUAGGCUUGGGACCAGGCCACUAGCCCUGAGUGCUUAGGAUAGAGACAUUUAAGGCACAAGUGAUGAAAGACCUGAUGUUGAGCAGAAAUCCAUCAACGCCUCCAAGAAACAAGGCCGAGGGCCUUUAAGUACCAAAUCAGGGACAGAUUUUGAAAGGCCACUAAACAUGAGGAGGGAUCUGUGGGAGUUGGCAUGGAAGGGAUAGUACUUCUAGCUUUUGAAGAGCUACUUCCCCCAAAACAUCCUACCAGCCAAUCCCAGCCCAGCCAGUGCCUGUGUCUGGGAGACAGGUUAGUUACUUCCACAUUUUCCUGGAAAGAUUUUGCCUGGCACACUCUUGUCUCAGGAG